GCUCGGGCGCUUUUCCUCCAGGAAGCCAAGCCGCUGCGGUGCGCUUUGGCUACCUGGGAGGGAAAGGGGAAGGAAAUUCUCUCUACCCCCCGGCUUUCUCUUCCCUUCCCCCCAUUUGGGAAACGAGUAGAGGUAUUGAAAUUUAAAGGAGAUUUUCAAAGGCCGCUGUCGAAGGAUGCUAAUAGGAGUUGCAAGACAGACGCAUUAGGAAGAGGGAAUUUCCCACGGAAAGCUUUGUAAUGAGCUAACGAGACGCGUUCCCCCACCUCACCUUUGGAGGGGAGGGGAAAACAGAGCUUGAAUUACGCAUUUAAUUUCCCCUGCGCUCGUUCCCAAAUGGGAAAAGCUGAUGGGUCUCGAUAGGAUCGGGAUUUCUGGUUUCAAGGUUUAACGUUGUGCGCGCUCCCCUGCUUGCAGACCCCGCAGCUACUCCCACCGCACAUCCUCUCGCCGGUCUUCGCGUCUGCGUCUCCCUCCCGCUGUUGGCGCGUUGCUUCGGUUUAUCCAGGUCUCCAACUCGCCCAAUACCUGGAUCAACACAACGAAAGCACAGAAAGUGGACAAACAGAAGGAGAACAACUAUGAAGGCUCAUGAAAACUCAUGAUUUAAAAAUAAAGCAUUCCCAGAUCAAAUGGGUUAGAGGCAAAUGUGGGAAGAUGAUAACAUCAUUUAAUAAUGUGUUAUAACAAAAAGGAAAUCAAAGACUUUGGUAACUUCUGUUUCAUUCACAGAAGAUCACAUUUCUCCACCUGGACUGAUUUAAGAAUUGAGGUUAGUUGACUACUAUUAGCAAGACUUGCAAUUAUGGCAUGCAGGCACAUCCUCUUCUGUUCACUUGAGUUAUUUCUGUAUAGCAGUAGAUCAUGAGGACAUGGACAAAGGCAUUGCACCUACUUUCUCCUUGAGCAAUUUCCAUUGAUGUCUGUGAUGCUGAUACUGAAUUACAGAAUCCCGAGGAUUCUGUAUUGUUGUAGUUCUAAACCUUUUGCUGUGGAGGUUAGCCUGUGGAUAGGAAGAGUCAAACAAGAACAACUUAUACAGUUUCUCUGGCUAGAAAAUGAACAAUACAUGCUUCCUGUCCUUAUGAUGUUCCCACAUGUGGAUGGUGAAGCAGGCACCAAGAUGACUAAGCUAGAACAACAAGAUUUGGUGAAUCCAGAGCUGACGAAUAACAGUUCAUCUGGCAUGGAAGCAAAGGAAGAAGUUCCAGGGAAGGCAAAGGCCCAAAUUUGUGAAUCUGUGUGCCAUGUGCUGGGGAAAAUUGAAACCUUCCAAUGAACUAGAAUGAAUGUUGUGUGUAUGGGAAGCCUAUGGACUCAAUGAGAAGAAUAAUUAGUGAAUGUGUCCAUGUUGUCUAUAUUUUACAUGGGUCAGAAGGAAGGAUUGAGUGCAGAAGACAAAAUGUUAAUCGGAAGUGGGGUCAUUUUCAUAUUUAGGCUUAAACAAGAAUAUAGACAUUACUAUUAAAGCAUAGAAAUAAAAAAAUGAUGAUAUUUUUAAGUGUCAUAACUUCUAACUAUUUGCCAUCAUAUUUUUGGUUUACUCCCUUUCAAAUACACUUAAGCGUAAGUGUAGCCUAGAAGAGAGCAAGACCCAAUAUUUGGCUAGUUCAGGGAGUGACUUACAAGCAAAGCAGUUCCACCCAUGACCAAUUUCUUAAAUUUCUGGAGCAACCCAAGUAGCAAGACUGGGAAAAUAUGACUGAAUUUGCAAAAAAUCAAGUCACUUCUUUGGAAAGAUGUUAAACUCCAAAGAUCAAUGUAUAGACCUUUCCACUUAGCUUACAACUAGAUAAAACAUUCUUUUGACAUGAAAUGGCUUAGGACAAAUGCUUUAACAAAAGAACUGAUUAAACACUGCUGUUACUAAAGCCUCACAAUAGUUAAUGCACUUAAAGAGUUCUAAAUCGGCUGAGCAUUGACGUCUUAAAGGAUUAUAUUGAGUGUCACCAUAUACACAGGAAAGUCUCCUUCAAAACCUACUAUGGAGUAUAAUGGACUAUACAUGUUAUUGUAAACAAAUUGGCAAGAUUCGAGGUUUUCUCUGGAUUCUAGCAUCUUUAAAAAGAGAAUGUCUGUUGUUUUAUAAAAGCAUUUAUUUACAUCUUUAUCAGGUAUCCUCCAGUCCCAAAUGUGAGAGGUUAGGGCAAUCUGUGGAUUGGGGUGGCUUUCUCUUCUAAGUCACUCCCAGACUAGGGAAGUGACUCAGAAGAGUCACUGAGUGGGGAAACACAGAACCAGGGAUGGCUCUGUAGCUCUGACCUAACUUAAAGCUCCAGAUUGGUCUGACCUUUUCUCACUUUGCGAUUCAGACCUGAAAAAAAUGAGGCCAAAGUUGGCUCAUCUUCCUCCCUUGAAAAUGUUCUAAGGAGAUGAACCACAUCCUGUCCUAUCUCCCCCAAACCAUACCUCAGCACAGGGGCUUGUUUCAUUGGUACAAGAAUAAGUUGUCUUUCUUUUGCUAGAAAGCUCACAACUUUAAAACCUACAAAAAAUGAAUGAAUUAUAAUCUAGAACUUCAGAUAUCUGUAUCAUAAUAGUUGGAUAUGCUUAUGGAGUAUGAUAUGAUCUUUUGCAGCAAAAUCUCACUUUGUACUCAACAAAUACAUACAAUUAUUAUUUGAAAGUUCAAUUAAUUAGUUUAAAAAUCUGUAGAAAUAUCAGUGUCUUCUGGGGAGGAAAUUAUUACGUGCAUGUCAAGAUUUGCCAAAAUUUUAAUACUUUGUUACCCUAUGUCACUUUUGUGAAGUGAUUAUAGGGAUAUUUUUCUAAAUAUAGAGUUUAUCAUAAGGAAGUUUUGUUAACAAUAGAAUCUUAAAAGUGCACUAGGAUAUUCAUUGCAAUUUUGUUUUUAAAAGUAAAAAAACAUUGGCUGGAUGUGGUGGCUUAUGCUUGUAAUCCCAGAACUUUGGGAAUCUGAGGUAGGCAAAUCACUUGAGGCUUGAAGUUCGAGACCAGCCUGGCCAACAUGGUGAAACCCCGUCUCUACUAAAAAUACAAAAAUUAGCUGGGUGUGGUGGUAGGCACCUGUAAUCCAGGUAUGUGGGAGGCUGAGACACGAGGAUCACUUGAACCAAGGAGGUGGAGGUUGCAGUGAGCCGGGAUUGCAGUGAGCCACGGCACUCCACCCUGGGCAACAGAGCAAGACUCCAUGUCAAGGAAGAAAGGAAGGAAGGAAGGCGAGAGAGAGAGAGAGAAAGAAAGAGAGAGAUAAAGAAGAAAGAAAAGAGAAAGAGUAAAAGAAAGAGAAAGAAAGAGAAAGAAGAAAGAAAGAGAAAGAAGAAAGAAGAAAGAAAAGAGAAAGUAAAAGAAAGAGAGAGAAAGAAAAAGAAGAAAGAAAGCAAAAAGAGAGAAAGAAAGAAGGAAGGAAGGAAAGAAUGGAAAGAAAGAAAGAAAGAAAGAAAGAAAGAAAGAAAGAAAGAAAGAAAGAAAGAAAGAAAGAGGAAGGUAAAAAAAAUAUAAAUAGCCUCUAUUCAAUAUCACAGUUUGGCCAAUACAUUUUGUAUGUAUGUGCAAUGACAUCUUACACAACUGCUGUCAUUCCUAAUUGUAAAUAAAAUGUAAACUUAAAAAUUGUAUGACAUGCUAAGGGAAACAGCAUACAAUCUGAAUUCAAAAUGUAAUAAAAAUGUACCUGUUCUAUAUGUACAUGGAAGAUAAUAAAAUAGAAUAAACAAAUGCCUAAAUAAAUAUGCUAGUAUAGAAGCAUUGUGGGAUUUUUCUUUAAAAAUUUUUUUAUUUAGUGCCAUUACAUCCAUCUUUAAAAAGAUAACUUAAAAAUGUAGCAAUGAAGGUCAUAGAGCAAAAGAAAGUCACUGAUGAUGACUAAAUGAAUUACAAUGUUGACAUUCUAAUUACCACCAGUUAAUGAUAUGAAAUCAGUUUACAAAUUAGAUAACCUCUUGUGAGAACUGAGAGGUAGAAGUGGGAUUUCAUCACAUGCUUCUGGUGAAGAAUCUCACGGCAACAAUGCGUGGCCAAGGAAGACAGAAUAUAAGAGAAGAAAAAUGAGAAACCCAAUACGGUUGGCUUUCUGUUGUGUGCCAGACACACGUGGGUUUAGCUUUGCCUCCUUCAUGUGCACUCUAGAUUUACUAACGGUGGUGAACAUGAAGUGCUUUACUUGCUG
rnacentral:lncRNA from 1 species